rnacentral:rRNA from 1 species
CCCUUAGAUGUUCUGGGCUGCACGCGCGCUACACUGAAGCUAUCAACACGUUUUCCCUCCCUGAGAAGGGCGGGUAACCUUUUGAAUCAGCUUCGUGGUAGGGAUCGGGGCUUGCAAUUGUUCCCCGUGAACUAGGAAUUCCUAGUAGACGCGAGUCAUAAGCUCGCAUCGAUUAAGUCCCUGCCCUUUGUACACACCGCCCGUCGCUACUACCGAUUGAACGUUUUAGUGAGGCAUUUGGACCGACGCAUCUCAGUUUAACCGCUGGUUUGUGUUGGAAAGACUUCCAAACUUGAGCGUUUAGAGGAAGUAAAAGUCGUAACA